GACACAUUAAACUUUGAGGAAGUAGUGUCUUGUUCAGUGUUCACGGUUUAUAUUGCUGAAGGACAAUUACAAGUCUAAACGGAGAAGAGUCGUCAUUUCAAGGUGUUUUCGCGGACGUAUUGGCAUGUGGAUGUUGACAGUGUCGGAAGUAUUAAUCAAAGUUGACACGAGAAGUUGGAGCGAAUGCGAGAAGAGCAUGCGAUGAGCUGCCUGCCUGCUGCUGCCUACUGCCUACUCCUGCUGCUGCCGCUGCUGCUGUUGCAUCCAAUGUUGGGUAGCCAGCCACCCAUGCAUGUUGACACAGCCAGCAGCGGGCACCCAUGGCACAUGGGGAUGGACCCAGGAGUGGAGGAUGACCCAAUAGGAUGAACGUUCAGCCCACUCACUGUUGACACCAGUGACACAGUAUUGACCAGAUCUCCUGGAAGUGCCCCCUGACGCAGACCCAGUUGUUGGGUAGCCACCCAUGCACGUUGACACAGCCAGCACCGAGCACCCAGGGGGAUGGAACCAGGAAUGGAGGAUGGUCCAAUAGGGUGAGUUGCUGAGCCAAUGUCAGAAACAUGUAGACUAUACCCUACCCUCAUAUGUAAACCUUCGCUAGUCUGUUUCUCCCUUAAUAUUGGUGUCAGAUUCGCACAAAUGCAGUUCUGGGGUGCUACCUUGCUACUAAACAGGCACAGCAAGUAUGAUUUGAAAUCCGUGUCGGUCAGUGUUAAUUUUG